rnacentral:rRNA from 1 species
UACGUAGGGUGCGAGCGUUAAUCGGAAUUACUGGGCGUAAAGCGUGCGCAGGCGGUUUUGUAAGCCAGAUGUGAAAUCCCCGGGCUUAACCUGGGAACUGCAUUUGGGACUGCAAGGCUUGAGUACGGCGGAGGGGGGUAGAAUUCCUGGUGUAGCAGUGAAAUGCGUAGAUAUCAGGAGGAAUACCAGAGGCGAAGGCGGAUUGCUGGGCUGAUACUGACGCUGAGGCGCGAAAGCUAGGGUAGCAAACGGG